rnacentral:rRNA from 1 species
ACGCGUGAAGUUGACCGCCUGGGGAGUACGGCCGCAAGGUUGAAACUCAAAGGGAUUGACGGGGACCCGCACAAGCGGUGGAUGAUGUGGUUUAAUUCGAUGCAACGCGAAAAACCUUACCCACCUUUGACAUGGCAGGAACUUACCAGAGAUGGUUUGGUGCUCGAAAGAGAACCUGCACACAGGUGCUGCAUGGCUGUCGUCAGCUCGUGUCGUGAGAUGUUGGGUUAAGUCCCGCAACGAGCGCAACCCUUGCCAUUAGUUGCUACAUUCAGUUGAGCACUCUAAUGGGACUGCCGGUGACAAACCGGAGGAAGGUGGGGAUGACGUCAAGUCCUCAUGGCCCUUAUAGGUGGGGCUACACACGUCAUACAAUGGCUGGUACAAAGGGUUGCCAACCCGCGAGGGGGAGCUAAUCCCAUAAAGCCAGUCGUAGUCCGGAUCGCAGUCUGCAACUCGACUGCGUGAAGUCGGAAUCGCUAGUAAUCGUGGAUCAGAAUGUCACGGUGAAUACGUUCCCGGGUCUUGUACACACCGCCCGUCACACCAUGGGAGCGGGUCUCGCCAGAAGUAGGUAGCCUAACCGCAAGGAGGGCGCUUACCACGGCGGGGUUCGUGACUGGGGUGAAGUCGUAACAAGGUAACCGUAAAGGG